AGUCGAACGCGAAAGGGGGCAACCCCCGGUAGCGUGGCAGACGGGUGAGUAACACGUGGGUAACCUACCCGGAGGUGGGGGAUAACCCUUCGAAAGGAGGGCUAAUACCGCAUGAUAUCGCGAGGACCUCGGUUCUUGCGAUCAAAGCUGGCCUCUGUUUACAAGCUAGCGCCACCGGAUGGGCCCGCGCCCCAUUAGCUAGUUGGUGAGGUAACGGCUCACCAAGGCGACGAUGGGUAGCCGGCCUGAGAGGGCGACCGGCCACACUGGAACUGCGACACGGUCCAGACUCCUACGGGAGGCAGCAGUGAGGAAUCUUGCGCAAUGGGCGAAAGCCUGACGCAGCGACGCCGCGUGAAGGAUGAAGGUCUUCGGAUUGUAAACUUCUGUCGAGCGGGACGAAUGCCAUGAGGGUGAAUAUCCCUUGUGGUUGACGGUACCGCUGGAGGAAGCCCCGGCUAACUCCGUGCCAGCAGCCGCGGUAAUACGGAGGGGGCCAGCGUUGUUCGGAAUCAUUGGGCGUAAAGGGCGCGUAGGCGGCCGAUCAAGUCGGAGGUGAAAUCCCUCGGCUCAACUGAGGAACUGCCUCCGAUACUGUUCGGCUUGAGUCCUGGAGAGGGUAGUGGAAUUCCGAGUGUAGCGGUGAAAUGCGUAGAGACUCGGAAGAACACCAGUGGCGAAGGCGGCUACCUGG
rnacentral:rRNA from 1 species